rnacentral:rRNA from 1 species
ACCUUGUUACGACUUCACCCCAGUCAUGAAUCUCACCGUGGCAAGCGCCCUCCUUGCGGUUAGACUACCUGCUUCUGGUGGAACCCACUCCCAUGGUGUGACGGGCGGUGUGUACAAGACCCGGGAACGUAUUCACCGCGACAUUCUGAUCCGCGAUUACUAGCGAUUCCGACUUCACGGAGUCGAGUUGCAGACUCCGAUCCGGACUACGACGCGCUUUCUGAGAUUAGCUCCCCCUCGCGGGUUGGCAACCCUCUGUACGCGCCAUUGUAUUACGUGUGAAGCCCUACCCAUAAGGGCCAUGAGGACUUGACGUCAUCCCCACCUUCCUCCGGUUUGUCACCGGCAGUCUCAUUAAAGUGCCCAACUAAAUGAUGGCAAUUAAUGACAAGGGUUGCGCUCGUUGCGGGACUUAACCCAACAUCUCACGACACGAGCUGACGACAGCCAUGCAGCACCUGUGUUAUCGUUCCCUUUCGGGCACCCCCGCUUUUCUGCGGGCUUCGAUACAUGUCAAGGGUAGGUAAGGUUUUUCGCGUUGCAUCGAAUUAAUCCACAUAAUCCACCGCUUGUGCGGGUCCCCGUCAAUUCAUUUGAGUUUUAAUCUUGCGAUCGUACUCCCCAGGCGGUCAANCUUCACGCGUUANCUACGUUACCAAGCCCGUAAAGGCCGACACUANUUGAN